AGAGUUUGAUCAUGGCUCAGGAUGAACGCUGGCGGCGUGCUUAACACAUGCAAGUCGAACGGAAAGGCCCCUGCUUGCAGGGGUACUCGAGUGGCGAACGGGUGAGUAACACGUGGGUGAUCUACCCCGCACUUCGGGAUAAGCCUGGGAAACUGGGUCUAAUACCGGAUAGUCACGCCCCUUUGAUGUGGGGUGUGGAAAGAUUUAUCGGUGUGGGAUGAGCUUGCGGCCUAUCAGCUUGUUGGUGGGGUAAUGGCCUACCAAGGCGUCGACGGGUAGCCGGCCUGAGAGGGUGUACGGCCACAUUGGGACUGAGAUACGGCCCAGACUCCUACGGGAGGCAGCAGUGGGGAAUAUUGCACAAUGGGCGCAAGCCUGAUGCAGCGACGCCGCGUGGGGGAUGACGGCCUUCGGGUUGUAAACUCCUUUCGCCCACGACGAAGCCCUUCGGGGUGACGGUAGUGGGAUAAGAAGCACCGGCUAACUACGUGCCAGCAGCCGCGGUAAUACGUAGGGUGCGAGCGUUGUCCGGAAUUACUGGGCGUAAAGAGCUCGUAGGUGGUUUGUCGCGUCGUCUGUGAAAGUCCAGCGCUUAACGCUGGGAUUGCAGGCGAUACGGGCUUACUUGAGUGCUGUAGGGGAGACUGGAAUUCCUGGUGUAGCGGUGAAAUGCGCAGAUAUCAGGAGGAACACCAAUGGCGAAGGCAGGUCUCUGGGCAGUCACUGACACUGAGGAGCGAAAGCAUGGGUAGCCAACAGGAUUAGAUACCCUGGUAGUCC
rnacentral:rRNA from 1 species